GACGAACGCUGGCGGCGUGCUUAACACAUGCAAGUCGAACGGAAAGGCCCUGCUUUUGUGGGGUGCUCGAGUGGCGAACGGGUGAGUAACACGUGAGUAACCUGCCCUUGACUUUGGGAUAACUUCAGGAAACUGGGGCUAAUACCGGAUAGGAGCUCCUGCUGCAUGGUGGGGGUUGGAAAGUUUCGGCGGUUGGGGAUGGACUCGCGGCUUAUCAGCUUGUUGGUGGGGUAGUGGCUUACCAAGGCUUUGACGGGUAGCCGGCCUGAGAGGGUGACCGGCCACAUUGGGACUUGAGAUACGGCCCAGACUCCUACGUGAGGCAGCAGUGGGGAAUAUUGCACAAUGGGCGGAAGCCUGAUGCAGCAACGCCGCGUGCGGGAUGACGGCCUUCGGGUUGUAAACCGCUUUCGCCUGUGACGAAGCGUGAGUGACGGUAAUGGGUAAAGAAGCACCGGCUAACUACGUG
rnacentral:rRNA from 1 species